rnacentral:rRNA from 2 species
AACGCGAAGAACCUUACCUGGGCUUGACAUGCUGGUGAAAGCCGGUGGAAACAUCGGCCCCUCUUCGGAGCGCCAGCACAGGUGCUGCAUGGCUGUCGUCAGCUCGUGUCGUGAGAUGUUGGGUUAAGUCCCGCAACGAGCGCAACCCUCGCUCCCAGUUGCCAGCGGUUCGGCCGGGGACUCUGGGGGGACUGCCGGCGUUAAGCCGGAGGAAGGUGGGGACGACGUCAAGUCAUCACGGCCCUUACGUCCAGGGCGACACACGUGCUACAAUGCCUGGUACAGCGCGUCGCGAACCCGCGAGGGGGAGCCAAUCGCUAAAAGCCGGGCUAAGUUCGGAUUGCAGUCUGCAACUCGACUGCAUGAAGCCGGAAUCGCUAGUAAUCGCGGAUCAGCCACGCCGCGGUGAAUACGUUCCCGGGCCUUGUA